rnacentral:rRNA from 1 species
AACGAACGCUGGCGGCAUGCCUAACACAUGCAAGUCGAACGAGACCUUCGGGUCUAGUGGCGAACGGGUGCGUAACGCGUGGGAACCUGCCCUUAGGUUCGGAAUAACUCCCCGAAAGGGGUGCUAAUACCGGAUAAUGUCUUCGGACCAAAGAUUUAUCGCCUUUGGAUGGGCCCGCGUUGGAUUAGCUAGUUGGUAGGGUAAAAGCCUACCAAGGCGACGAUCCAUAGCUGGUCUGAGAGGAUGAUCAGCCACACUGGGACUGAGACACGGCCCAGACUCCUACGGGAGGCAGCAGUGGGGAAUUAUGGACAAUGGGCGAAAGCCUGAUCCAGCAAUGCCGCGUGUAAGAAGAACGACUUAUGGUUGUAAAGCUCUUUUUCCCGGGAUGAUAAUGAUAGUACCGGGAGAAUGAGCUCCGGCUAACUCCGUG